AUCAACUGACGAGUCCCAAAUAGGACAAACGCGCGUCCUGGAU
rnacentral:hammerhead_ribozyme from 1 species